rnacentral:rRNA from 1 species
CAAGGCUUGACAUAUACCGGAAAAGUUCAGAAAUGUUCUCCCCGCAAGGUCGGUAUACAGGUGGUGCAUGGUUGUCGUCAGCUCGUGUCGUGAGAUGUUGGGUUAAGUCCCGCAACGAGCGCAACCCUCGUUCUAUGUUGCCAGCACGUAAUGGUGGGAACUCAUAGGAGACUGCCGGGGUCAACUCGGAGGAAGGUGGGGAUGACGUCAAAUCAUCAUGCCCCCUAUGUCUUGGGCUUCACGCAUGCUACAAUGGCCGAUACAAAGGGCUGCAAUACCGUAAGGUGGAGCGAAUCCCAAAAAGUCGGUCUCAGUUCGGAUUGAGGUCUGCAACUCGACCUCAUGAAGUCGGAGUCGCUAGUAAUCGCAGAUCAGCAACGCUGCGGUGAAUACGUUCCC